ACCUAAUCAGAAAGCCACGGCUAACUACGUGCCAGCAGCCGCGGUAAUACGUAGGUGGCAAGCGUUAUCCGGAAUUAUUGGGCGUAAAGCGCGCGUAGGCGGUUUUUUAAGUCUGAUGUGAAAGCCCACGGCUCAACCGUGGAGGGUCAUUGGAAACUGGAAAACUUGAGUGCAGAAGAGGAAAGUGGAAUUCCAUGUGU
rnacentral:rRNA from 1 species